GAAGAACCCUCCUUCCUCUGAUAACAAGACUGAGCGAUAAGAGAGGAAUUGCGCAGUAGAAGUUUACUCAGAGUGGAGCACAUUCUAGAAUCUCUCAUGAAUUCCCAAGAGUCAGAUGUCUGCAGUGGGCAGGAAGAAAUGGUUUCCCUGAAAAAGGCAGUGCAGCCUGGUGGAGGAAUGCUCUGCGCUGGCCAAGCAGGGCCCUGCUUCAGCUGCCGACUCCACAGUCCUCAGAAGCCAGCAUGAAAUUGAUCCAGCUUUCUUAAACUAGUCCACCAAAGGGCAUCAGAUCCUAAAGGCCCAAGACUUCUCUGGGAACCUCAGGAGGAAGGGAGUCAAGGGUCCACUUCUGCCAAGCACUCUCUCAGUCCUGAUGCUGCCUUUGGACAGGAAUAGACCGCAAUGAAGGAGGGGCUUCAUGGGGCUGAGGGCACAGAAGGCAGGGAGUAUGAGGGAGUAUGACUGCUCUGAGAGUCUAGAAUUUCUUGGCAUGGGAUCCCACGGACACUGCACCCUCUUGGCCUUGAUCUACUAUAUGGAAAGACAGGUUUAGGAAAAUCAGAGGAGGAACUGAGACCCAGAGCUGAAGUAACUUAAGCAACAUUACACAGCUAGAAUGAUCAGGAUUCAACCCAGGACUCUUGAUGGCUCGCUAACUGUUUCUCCUAAUAAAAAAUAAAGUGAAGAAAGCACAGUAAGCUGUUGUGGAAAUCACCCUGGACCUGAGGUCUAAAGCACUUCCAUUUAACAGCUUAGUAACCUUGGGCAAGUUAUUUGGCUACUUUGAAUUAUAAGAUGCUUGCUUAGAAAGUGGGGAUAGUCACUCCUUUAUUUCAUAGUACGAGAUUAACGGGGAUAAUGUAUAUGAAGUGCUUGGAAUUGAUGCUUGGUACAGAAUAAGUGCUCAGUAAAUGUUAGGCGUGGUUGCUAUUGUUAUUAUCACUGCUACUAUUGUCACUAGCAGCUUCCUUCUUGGCUUGUUGCAAUGCUCAAGUGAGAUAAUGUCUGGGGAAGUGCUGUUUGCUGUGCACCUGUCAGUAAUCCUGUCCCCUUUACUACAAUUCUAGCAACCUCAGGGGAAGAGUUAUUUGUGAAACUCUGGCCCCAUUCCUCCCCAAAAUGGUUCAGAUUCUUUGCUCUGCAGCCAACGCUGAUGACGAACGAGGGUUUGACUUGGUGCCCACUGUGAAUGACGUCCUUCAGGAGAUCUCCAAGAACUGCAGCAAAUGCUUUCCUGAGCUUAUUUUAGCAUUAGAGGGACCUCGAAGGAGGAUGUCAACAUUUGGCUUCAUCAUUUGGAGGUGGUCCCGUGCAAUUAAUGUGGUUUGACGCGAUCUUUUUUCCCCCUCAUCAUCCUAAGAAGAGAUACCAAGGAGUGGAUCAAGGAGUGGUUGGCAGACACAGCUCUACAUUCAAAGGAAUUCUAGUGUUGGUUAUUAGUAAUUUUGAGAGUAAUAUAUGUUCAUUGUAAAAAUAUUUGGAAAAUGCACAAAAAUAUGAAGGAGAACAAUUUAAAAUAUCCAUAAUGCAGUCACUCAGAAAUAAAGAC
ensembl:lncRNA